GUCGGGAUAGCUCAGCUGGUAAAGCARAGG
rnacentral:tRNA from 1 species